AACACAUGGCCUUGAGGGCCGGCCUGAUGGAGUAGGAGCGGCCCAGGCAGAGCAUGGCCAAUGAUAUCUUGGGGUUACUGACAGGGAAGCAGACAAAAUGGCAGAGAGGGCUUGUCUCUGCUCAGCUCUCGUGCCUUUAAGCUUUAUUACAAAUCUAAAGGUUUUGUGCCUUUGACUUGGGAACCAUCUGAUCUAAGUGGGGUAGAAACCCCUAAUAAAGUCAAAAGGAGAUGUAGCAAACCCCCAUAAUAAUAACUACAACAGAUUGGCACCUCACAUUGGGCGACAAAUGUAAAAUAAUAUGUAUUAAACUUAACCUGAUCUAGCUUCAAAUGAAUAAGACUCAAACUACGAUAUUUAUUUAUUAGGCUCUGAGCAAUUACUGGAGGAUUACGCCUAAUCUAAAUCUCUAACUGUAGUCUGGCUACGACUCCAACUGUGCUCUGCAAAUACUUGUUUGAAACUCAUUUCUGCUCUAGCAGUCUGGAGUCCUGGGGAGGCGUUUCACUCUGGCACGUGCUGCUGGUCCAUCAUGUCUUAUGGAGACCACCUGUUCUCUGCUGUCUUCUUCUCUGAGACCCUUCUCUUUCUCUUCUCUCUCCUUCUCUGUGCUCUCUGCCUGUGACCCCCAGGCCUGAAACUCAAACUUCACCUCCCCAGUAGUUGGGGAGCAAGAUUUACAUAACAAAUGCUGGUAGAUGUGAGGACCUUGGAGCAACCAGAUCUUGGGGCACAGAAUUUGGCACUGAGUACAAGCAGCAUCCCCUAUAGUUAAUUGCUUAGCCAUGUAGGGUUUGUCCCCACAAAGCCAAGCCAUCAUCUUCUCCUUCCCCACAGAGAGGGAGACUGAGUGAGGAACAUCCAACUGUGACCCCAUAGGCCUGGAGAGCCAAGCCUAGCUUCCUGUGUCUAGACCUCUCUGGUCUCCAGGUCCUGGGCUGGCCUACAGGCUACCAUGGGUACUGGUCCUCUGGCUGUGGGAGUUCUGAGCCAUAGGAGAAAACACCUGAGUUGUAUAUUUUUUCCCUCUGUUUUAUUUUUAAGGCAGAACUGUGUAACUUAGGCUAGUCUCAAACUCACAUCUGGCUUUCCUCUUGACCGCUGAGCCAUCUCUCCAGCCCCCUAUUUAUCUAUUUAUUUAUAGAUAGAAUUCAUGUAGCCUAGCUUGGACUUAACCUCCAUGUGUAGCCAAGGAUGAUUUCAAACUUCUGAUCUUCCUGCAACCCC
rnacentral:lncRNA from 1 species